AUGAAGGAGGCAUGCUUUUAUGUCAUAAAGACCAUGUACAGCUAAAAUGAAAAUAGAAAAGGACGGAUAAAAGGUAAUUAGAGUAUCAAUUAGAUGAUAGUAUCUGAGGAGAUCUGAAAGAGAACGAAGAAAAGCAAGAAACAAAUUACAAAAGAACAUUGAGGGAAAUGAUUGAGAGAAAGAGAAAGAUGAUUGGCGAGUAUGGAGAAGACGAAAUGAAAUGGCAAAGACGACAUGGGAAGAAAAA